rnacentral:tRNA from 1 species
AAGGGAGACCUAAUUCGGGUAUAAGACGAAAAAAGAGUAGUCGAAACCAAGAAUCAAUCCCAAAAGGUCGGAACGAGGUAUGUGCCUUUCAAACUAGGUUCUGGGUUCACACAAGACCUGAAUCAGGAACAAGGGCUAUUAGCUCAGGUGGUUAGAGCGCACCCCUGAUAAGGGUGAGGUCCCUGGUUCGAGUCCAGGAUGGCCCACCUGCACAGGUGGCAAAAACAAAGAAGCGAGGAAUCAGCACCUUAUCUUAUCUAUAUAUAAGAGAGAAUGCUGGCUCUGAGUAAAGAGUCCAGAGGAACCUUGAAAACUGCAUAGAGCUAGGUGAAAAAGCCAAAAAAGAAGACCGCAA